rnacentral:lncRNA from 1 species
CGGAUUUCAUUACCUUGCGACUACAUUGGAACCAGUAACCGCAAAAGCCAAACAAAGUUGAAGAUAUUUCAGAGUCACAGCUAAAAAGGAAAGUUGAAUAUCGCCAAUGGCUUCUUUAAACUUUGCUCUCUUCCUGGUUUUCGUUCUCCUGAGUGCGGCCGAAUUUAGUCAUUCCCGAAGAGUAAAGUUCACGGUAACAGACAAGCAAUAUGGUUAUCUGCACAGCUUCGGAAAUUCCUUGAGGUUCUCGUGGGUAAAACUUCCUCCAAGUUAUUUUAGAAUUCUUAAAAGAAAAUUCAUAAAAGAUUUAAGAAGUGGGAACUGCUUUGAUGUUAAAACCCCAACCAACAAACAAGUUGUUCUCAAACCAUGUUCUAAAAACUCACUACAGUGGCAAAUUUCUGGCGAUGGUCACAUUAAAUCAUUACAAUAUGAUCAGUGUUUAAGUGUGUGGAAUCCAAAUUUGGCUGGUCUUAAUGAUUGUGCUGGUUGGAAUGAAAUGGUCAUAGAUUAUAAUCGGCCAUGAAAAAAAGCGUAAACAAGCAUUAAAGGAAACGAGAUGAAGAUGAACUUUUUUGUUGUUUGACUAUAGUUUUGCAUGCAGUUUUGUUGGUG